UUGUGGAGGAGGACGCCGAAGGUGGGGCUAAUGACUGGGGUGAAGUCGUAACAAGGUAGCCGUACCGGAAGGUGCGGCUGGAUCACCUCCUAACAGGGAGACAACAAAAUGUUUAAUAUUAUUAUUUUGUCACCUUAGGUCGAUCGGUAUCUCACAUUCUUAAUUUAUUAAGGAUUUUAUUUCCUAAGUUUUUUCUAGGUCACACCCAUUACUUUUCCUGGGCCAUUAGCUCAGGUGGUUAGAGCGCACCCCUGAUAAGGGUGAGGUCCCUGGUUCAAGUCCAGGAUGGCCCAUAUCUCUAUGUUGGGGGUAUAGCUCAGUUGGUAGAGCGCCUGCUUUGCAAGCAGGAUGUCAGCGGUUCGAGUCCGCUUACCUCCACUGAUUACCACCUCUUCCAUAAUUACUAAGGAAAUGUUUUGAGUAGUGAUCAAAUUCUGAACGAAUCUAGCUUCCUAAUGAAUUCAUUAAGAUGCUGGACUCAUUGAAUUAUUUUCAUUGUUUUCAGAGAACCUUGACAACUGCAUAGAUUAUUUUUAAAGACAAUAAGCAUCUUUAUGAUGCAGAUUUAUUAUUUGUGCGAAUGCAUUAAUAACAAUUCUAUUAAGCUGAUGCUUCAAUUAUGAAGUUAUUGGUCAAGCUACAA
rnacentral:misc_RNA from 1 species